UAAUGAUUAUACUAAUAGUAUGUAAUGGACUGGAUGAUUUAAACAAGUAGGCCUACAUUUACUCAAGUGCUGUGCCGAAGUACACAUUGAAGAUAUUAUAGAAUCACGUUUAGUGCAGGAAAUGUCUCUCCAUAAGAAAAGCUUCAGUCAAACAUCGUGAUACUGAACAUUUAAGCCCACACGCUACAUCUUUAGCCUAUGUAUUAUCAACAAACCAUUACUUUUUCAUAUGCUGCUAAAGUGCCCCUUUUUCAUUAGUUUAAUGUCCCAUGAAUCUUUUCCUGUUGGUUGUUAACUCAGCAACAGCUCUUCAGGAAAGUAAAAACCAAUUAACUCUCCACAGUUAUUACAGCGCUGUUAUCAGUAGUCACCUGUGUAUGUGUGUUUCAUUAAUGCUUUAAUGUGCUGGAACUAAAAUGUUUUUCUUUCCCACUUUCCUGCUAUGACACAUAUUUCCCCUGAGAAAACUGUAUAAAAGCCCACUUUCUGAAGGCAACCCUCCAGGGUAAGCAGCUGAAGUAUUUCUUCUUGCCUGUUUUAAAGAUAUCCCCAAGGUCAUCAUGAAAGUUGUGCUCUUUGAACUUUUGGUUGUGUGGCUGCUCGGAGCGCUGCAUGCAGAGACAAACACUCAACCUGAACACAUGGGUCUCAGUGAAGAUGAGCAGCAUGUGAGCAGAAGAUACGCUGAGUCGACCAUCGCCAGCGAAAUCAGCAAAAUCAUGGAUUCAAUGGUG